rnacentral:rRNA from 1 species
GUCCACGCCCUAAACGGUGGGUACUAGGUGUAGGGCUCGUAAGGGUUCUGUGCCGAAGCGAAAGCAUUAAGUACCCCGCCUGGGUAGUACGGCCGCAAGGUUGAAACUCAAAGGAAUUGACGGGGGCCCGCACAAGCGGUGGAGCAUGUGGUUUAAUUCGACGCAACGCGAAGAACCUUACCUGGGUUUGACAUGUUAGUGGUAAGGACCCGAAAGGGCGAUGAUUCCCGCAAGGGAAAGCUAACACAGGUGCUGCAUGGCUGUCGU